AGAGUUUGAUCCUGGCUCAGAUUGAACGCUGGCGGCAUGCCUAACACAUGCAAGUCGCACGCGAAAGGGGGCAACCCCGAGUAGAGUGGCGGACGGGUGCGUAAUACGCAGGAAUCUACCCACGAGUGGGGGACAACCCGGGGAAACCCGGGCUAAUACCGCAUGAGACCUACGGGUGAAAGCGGGGGAUCGCAAGACCUCGCGCUGGUGGAUGAGCCUGCGUCCGAUUAGCUAGUUGGUAGGGUAAAAGCCUACCAAGGCAACGAUCGGUAGCUGGUCUGAGAGGACGACCAGCCACACUGGGACUGAGACACGGCCCAGACUCCUACGGGAGGCAGCAGUGGGGAAUAUUGGACAAUGGGGGCAACCCUGAUCCAGCAAUGCCGCGUGUGUGAAGAAGGCCUUCGGGUUGUAAAGCACUUUCGAUGGGGACAAACGUGUCGGGCUUAAUACGUCCGGCCUUGAUGGUACCUAGAGAAGAAGCACCGGCUAACUCUGUGCCAGCAGCCGCGGUAAUACAGAGGGUGCAAGCGUUAAUCGGAAUUACUGGGCGUAAAGCGUGCGUAGGUGGUUGGAUAAGUCAGGUGUGAAAUCCCCGAGCUUAACUUGGGAAUUGCGCUUGAUACUGUCCGGCUAGAGUGUGGUAGAGGGUAGUGGAAUUCCGCAUGUAGCGGUGAAAUGCGUAGAUAUGCGGAGGAACAUCAGUGGCGAAGGCGGCUACCUGGACCAACACUGACACUGAGGCACGAAAGCGUGGGUAGCAAACAGGAUUAGAUACCCUGGUAGUCG
rnacentral:rRNA from 1 species